GCCGGUCGGGACGCGCCGGCGGGACGGCCACCGCAGGCCCCUUACUGACCCUCGGGGGAAAGGGAGGAACCAAGUGGGUGUGAGGGGGACGCAGUGUGCUCUUCCGCCGCCCGAGCCCGUUGACGGUGCGCGGACCCUCCGCGCUCACGUUCCCUUCCGCAGUCGGCGCCCUGCGCCCGGCGCCGGGGAGCUGUCCGCCCCGGUGGUUCUGAAUCAGGCGCUGCGGAAACGCUCCAGGGAAGUGGAUGGGACAACGGAGCACGUACGUGAGCAGAGGAGACGGCCCACGUGCAUGUCCAUGGUUUCUUACCUUCUCGUUUGCAUAGAGCGGUCGCCCUGCCUGUGAGCACAGCAUUGAAGUGGACAUGCUAUGCUCGUUGACACUCAAAGUGAGUACAAGCUACCACACAGCAUCAAAAUGAGGAGAUUCGCCUGGGUACAGCACUACCAUUUCAUGCACAGAGCCCACGUGCAUUCUGUCACCUGUCCUGAUAACCAUGACGGGAUGCAGGGAGCUGUCAGUCUCCAUCUCCUUCAGGCCGCAGCAGCCCUCGGUCAUUCCUUCACUUUCAGGACCUUGACACUUCUGAAGAUUACAGGCCAGUUAUGUUCUAGAAUGUUCCUCGGUUUGGGUUUGUCUGAUGUUUCCUCAAGAUUGGAUCCAGGUUAUGUGUCUUUGGCAGGAAUAACACAGUAGUGAUGCUGUGCUUUUCUCCCUGCAUCCUAGGAGGUGGCGUAGGAUUUUGAUUUGCCCCAUUACUGGCAAUAUUACCUGUGAUCAUUUGAUUAAGGUAGAGUGUGCCAGUCUUCACUGCAAAGUUACAUUUUUCCCUUUUGGAAUUCAGAAUUAUUUAGUAGAGUGGUAUUUUAACAUGAUAUAAGUAUCCCAUUCCUCUUUAAGCAUUUAAUUUAUUAUUUAUUUUUUGUAUUUGUAUGGAUGCACGUUUUCCAAUUUGUUGAAUGGAGUGCAAUCUGUUACCUCCAUUAUUUAUCUUGAUGUUCAUGUUGUCCCCAAUCUGACCAGUAGGGGGGGCCCUUCAAGCUGACUUUGGGGUUCUUUUGACAUGUCCCAUCAUUCUUUGAGCACUUCAGCGCAGCAAGGUGUUCCAGGUUUGUACUUUCCCUGCCCAGCCCUAGAAUCAGUUAACUUCUCCUGGUGCCUUUAAGUGGAGAAAGCAAUUUAGAAGCCAAGAUCUGCACCCUAGGUGUGCUCAUUGCUACUGAGAUGUCAUUGUUUCCAAGCAAUUUAUUGAACAGUGCUACAUAUAUGUAUGCAUGUAAAUAUGUCUGUGUACACAUGUAUGCAUACAUGUGUGUUUUGGAGCAAACACAAACACAUUUCCAUUUGUAUUUACUUCUAUAUAUCUAUAUAUUUUGGACUUGAGUUCCUACGGUUCUUUCAAUCCCAAUUCAAUACACAGGUUUAAUUCUAGUUCUUUUCCCCUUUCCAUAUUUGUAACCACCUUCUCCAAAUGUAAGAAACCUGGGUCCCAUUAUCCUUAAUAUACUAACAUGGUUUGAUCAGUUCCCCUGUUCAUAACUAGUCUUGCAUCUUCCCUGCCCAAUGUCCUCCUCACCUCGUGCUGGCUCAGGUUCUCGGGGCUGCACCGCCCCCCACUCACGUGGACACCCUCCUCAGCCUGCUCAGACUCUGACGACCAGCCCGGCUUCCCUCCACGGGGACUCCUUCUUUUCCCUGUGCACUAGGCUGCUACCCCAAACCACCCCGUGUGGGUCAGAGACCCCACGCCAGGCUGCCCCACAGAGGGAAGCUCUUUUCACUCUGUUUGGGCUGCGACACCUCACCUGCACAUUCUUUAAACUUAGCAGGAAAUGCACAUUUACCAAACAUAAAUUUGAAAUAUUGUUGGAUACGUGGUGGGAAAGUUGAGCUGAUGCCUGCAUGCUAUGAAAA